rnacentral:tRNA from 2 species
CCUUCGAUAGCUCAGUUGGUAGAGCGGUGGACUGUAGAAAGACAGUAUUGACUAAAUAUAGUAAUCCAUAGGUCGCUGGUUCAAAUCCGGCUCGAAGGA